AUGACAUGUUAGGUGGAGAAACCAAAGUCAAAACAGUGUGCAAGAUGUACAUCAGAGUACAUUAUGUGAUUUAUUCUUCCAAUGGAUUAAUAAAUGAACCCUCAAACAUUCCUGGGAAGAAAAAGAUGAGAAAAGAAAUAAAGGUUUCAAAAAGUCAUGUUGUAGAAAACCCUUGGCAGUUUAGGUUAUAUAGCUAAAAACAAACCAUUCAUUUCUUCCCAAAUGUGACUAUUUUAGCUAUCACAAGUCCCUUAAGAUGUUUUUGCAACUAAAGUCACAUAUAUUUCUACUUUAUUGUCCUAAGAUUAA
rnacentral:misc_RNA from 1 species